AAGUUUAAAUACUAAUAUACUCGUUUUGACAAACCCUCACACACCCUUAAAUUAACCCUCUUCCUCUCAUCUUCCAGUCAACCACCGCCGCUGCACCACCGUUACGGCCGCACAAUCUAUCUUAUCUGGAUUGACAACCAGUUUAAUGUAUCAGUUCAUCAGUUUCAGCAAAGUCAAAUAUAUGUUUUUGUUGAAGAGAUUGGGUCUCUAAUCUGUGACUUUGAUGGCGAUCCGAAGAUCAGCAAUGGAAGAUCUUCAAUGAGCACACGUGGACUACACUACUUUCAUAAAUGUGUUGUGAUGACAGAAGAGAAUCGUACACCAUGAUAUAAAGAGCGCAAACGUCCUUUUAGAUUGUAAUUAUCAAUCUAAAUCAAGGAAGUUGCGGAUUUGGAAAGGUGUAUGAUGCUUAUGGAGAGGUGUACAACGAAAUUGAAAUGCUUACUAGGCAGUUUCGUUGUUAUUUCACGAGAAGAUUCUUAUCUAUGAGUUUAUAUCUCAUAGAAUUUAUUAAUUACUCUUGAUGUAUCAGACGGACUAAACUACCUUCAUGAGGGACUAAGUUACCUUCAUAUACUAACUGUUGUUAAAAAACAGUUAAUAAUGGACUGGACUACCUUCAUAUUUCUAUCAAUACUUCACAUAGAGUCUUUAUGUAUAGAUCUAAUUUGAUUAUGUUUUGUUUAAAUAUGUUUUUAAUAUAAUUAUUGGUUUUCUUUUGUAUCAA